AAAAAUAAAAACCCUACCCCUAACCCCAAUUCAACAGAAUCAGAAUGCGAUCAAAACCAGCAUCAUCGACCUCUCUGUUCAUACGUUCCGGUGAGUCAAAUUGACCGUUAGAGAGAGAGAUGGCUAGUGCUGGAGAAAAAAGAGGUAGGGAUGAUGUGGAUGAUAAACUGAAUAACACGGUGGGAGUAACUUCUGUAUAUGAAGGAACUCACUGAUGAAGAACUUUCUGAGUAUUAUAGCCGGUCCUUCAGCAGCAAUGAUUCGAUGUUCCCGACUUUGGAUGUGCAUUACCUGGCGGAAUUAGACCCAUUAAGUUGGGUAAAAGAUAUGAUGAACUCGUGAGCGAUUUUGCUAAGCAAGCCUUACAAGUCUACAAUAAUCAAAAUAAUGCGAAUUUUGAGUUUGAUCAUCUUGUCAAGGCUAAUUGCCAAGCUGUUUCCGGCAUUAUGUAUUACAUUACUUUUACUGCACGCUCAGGGGAUAAUGCGCCUCAAACCUUUUGGGGCAAAGUAUGGCAAAAAGUAAUGAAUAAGGGAACAGAAGUUAAGUUUUGUGUGAUGGCAACUGUUAAGCAGGAAGCUGGUACAUAUCAGGUGUAAGUCGCGGGACGAGUCUAGGGCCCUGUUCUAGUUGUGUUUGAUGGGUCCUUCCUUCAGGAAGGAAAACUCUCUAAUACUUAUGAAAGAGUCUAAGUCCCUGUUCUAGUUGUGUUUUAUGGUUCGCUCCUUCAAGAAGGAAAAAACUGAUGCUAUUAUAUAAUUUUAAUACUGAUGAAAUAGAGUCUAGGUCAUGUUCUAGUUGUUUUUUAUGGUUUGCUCUUUCAAGAACGAAAACAAUCUAAAGAUGCCAUUAUAUAAUUUUAAUACUUAUGAAAGAGAUUAUAGGUCCCUUAUCAUGUGUUUUAUACUUUCGAUAUGUUGAUCUUUACUAUAUUGUCCCAAAGAAAAACAAGGUUGGACCCUUUAUAAACCUGUUUAGAGCUCUAAUUAUACAUAGGUUUUCAAAUCCACGACAGUUUUAACAAGUAAAUCCCCAUAAUGGUCCCUGAGAUUCAGGUCGUUACCCCAAUGUGGUCUCUAAGAUCCCAAUUGCACCAUUGUAGUCCCCCAGAUACGGUUCCUAGCACCAUAAUAGUCCCUGGUCAUCUUUCCGGUGAUGAGUCAUCACCGAAGCGCAGACAUGUCACGAGUUUGCCACGUUGGAGGGAACCAAAACAUUGCUGUUUUGGUUUGGCGCCCCAUUUUGUAAAAAAUGUCGUCGUUGUAGGCAAAAUAAGAAUGUUAAACGAUUUUGAUCAAACGCUCUCCUCACUCGUCUUCUCCACUUCCACCCUCCUCCGUUUUCUUCUUCUUCCUCCUCUCUUCAUCAAUGUUGCUGCCGUAGGGUUCCAUCGGUGAGGUUGAAAUUCUUGCAUUCGGAAGACAUCAAAAUCAGGUCUCACUUCGUCGUUCGUCUCCUCCUCCAUCAUAAGCAAGAGGUUCUGCCGUUAGUGAAGAAUCGUGGAAUAAAAAGGCCUUUAAAAUUGUCACCAAGGAGAAGAUCCUCUCCACUAGCAACCUCUGGCCCGGUGAAUUCCAUGCAGGGUGUUAGUUCAGGAACUGUAACAAGACUUGCCAAUUACAUGAAGUUCAUCCCAACUCUAAGAUUUAAGAUUCCAAGAAAGAAGAAUUGAAGACUUUAACGUAAUAUGUAUAGGACUUUCUAUUUUGGGUUUCAAACUUUUUACUAUACAAUGACUACACAAGGAUAUAUGAUCCUUUAUGUUUUGCUGUGAACCCUCUCUUUUGAGACAACUAUAUUUACCAUGUUCAUGUUAGUUGACUGCCUUUUGUGUUUUAUGAAUGACUGAUUUAAGUUGAACCAUUAUCUUAAUACACUUAUGUUUUAAGUUUGAA